rnacentral:rRNA from 1 species
UACGGGGGGGGCUAGCGUUGUUCGGAAUUACUGGGCGUAAAGGGCGCGUAGGCGGUCUGCUAAGUUGGAUGUGAAAACUCUGGGCUUAACCCAGAGCCUGCAUUCAAUACUGACAGGCUAGAGUUCUGGAGGGGAUAGCGGAAUUCCUGGUGUAGCGGUGAAAUGCGUAGAUAUCGGGAGGAACACCAGUGGCGAAGGCGGCUCCCUGGGCCUUUCCUGACGCUGAGACGCGAAAGCGUGGGGAGCGAACAGG